rnacentral:pre_miRNA from 1 species
GGUUCUUAGCAUAGGAGGUCUUCCCAUGCUAAGAAGUCCUCCCAUGCCAAGAACUCC